rnacentral:RNase_P_RNA from 1 species
GGAGUUGGCCAGAUUGUCGCGGCGUUCCUCGUGAACGUCGAGGAAAGUCCGGGCUCCAUAGGGCACGGUGCCAGGUAACGCCUGGGCGGCGCGAGUCGACGGAAAGUGCAGCAGAGAGUAGACCGCCGAUGGCCACCGCAAGGUGGCACAGGUAAGGGUGAAAGGGUGCGGUAAGAGCGCACCGCACGCGUGGUAACACGUCGUGGCACGGUAAACCCCACCGGGAGCAAGGCCAAAUAGGGGAACAAUGGCGUGGCCCGCGCUGUUCCCGGGUAGGCUGCUCGAGCGCGACGGUGACGUCGCGCCCAGAUGAAUGGCAAUCCACGACAGAACCCGGCUUACCGGCUGACUCCACCC